AACGUAGGAGACAAACGUUAUCCGGAGUUACUGGGCGUAAAGGGCGUGUAGGCGGUUUGUUAAGUCUGGCGUGAAAGCUCUCGGCUAAACCGGGAGAGGUCGUUGGAUACUGGCGAACUAGAGGAUGGUAGAGGCGUGUGGAAUUCCGGGUGUAGUGGUGAAAUGCGUAGAGAUCCGGAGGAACACCAGUGGCGAAGGCGGGUCUCUGGGCAACAACUGACGCUGAGGAGCGAAAGCGUGGGGAGCGAACAGG
rnacentral:rRNA from 1 species